GGUGAUUUUACGUAAGGUUCCACUGAUCCCAAUUUGAGAGGGCCUUUCAGACCACUGGAUGACAGAGCCUGGAUAUUAAGUGUCACUCAAAGGUUGCUGCCCAGACGCCACCUCCUCAGACUCUUGGUCCCUGUCUAUGCCUUGAUGAGACUUUAUUUUCCUUCAGAGCAAGCAUCGCCGCC
rnacentral:lncRNA from 1 species